GACGAACGCUGGCGGCGUGCUUAACACAUGCAAGUCGAGCGAUGAAGUUCCUUCGGGAAUGGAUUAGCGGCGGACGGGUGAGUAACACGUGGGUAACCUGCCUCAGAGAGGGGAAUAGCCUUCCGAAAGGCAGAUUAAUACCGCAUAAGAUCGUAGUUUCGCAUGAAACAGCAAUUAAAGGAGUAAUCCGCUAUGAGAUGGACCCGCGUCGCAUUAGCUAGUUGGUGAGGUAACGGCUCACCAAGGCGACGAUGCGUAGGCGACCUGAGAGGGUGAUCGGCCACAUUGGGACUGAGACACGGCCCAGACUCCUACGGGAGGCAGUAGUGGGGAAUAUUGCACAAUGGGGGAAACCCUGAUGCAGCAACGCCGCGUGAGUGAUGACGGUCUUCGGAUUGUAAAACUCUGUCUUCAGGGACGAUAAUGACGGUACCUGAGGAGGAAGCCACGGCUAACUACGUGCCAGCAGCCGCAGUAA
rnacentral:rRNA from 1 species